UCCGUAGGCGGAUUAUUAAGUCAGAGGUGAAAUACUACAGCUUAACUGUGGAAUUGCCUUUGAUACUGGUAGUCUUGAGUUAUAUGGAAGUAGAUAGAAUGUGUAGUGUAGCGGUGAAAUGCAUAGAUAUUACACAGAAUACCGAUUGCGAAGGCAGUCUACUACGUAUAUACUGACGCUAAUGGACGAAAGCGUGGGGAGCGAACAGGAUUAGAUACCCUGGUAGUCC
rnacentral:rRNA from 1 species